rnacentral:lncRNA from 1 species
ACAUCAGCAGAUUGGCAUUGGUGACAUCUGCUAAUUAUCUGGUUUGACUCAUGGCUAGUGUGAGACUUCCACCUGCAGUGAUUAGAAAGACACGAUCAGUGUGAGAUUAAUAGUACCCAGUCCGUGACCAAUUUGUAGUAAUGAGUAGCCUGGUCUACUUUUCUGUUUCCCCCAGAGGUAUCAUUAUUUAUCAUGUGUUGGAAACAUAGCUGCCAGAAGUUUAGCAUAAACCUGAAGCGAUUGUAUCUAACUUCAUUCGAGAAGAAGGUGUAUUGUCUUCCAAUAAUAGCAUAUCAACUCUCAAAUUGCAAUGGCCCAUACAACUGCAUGUUUAAAGCCUUCCAGGGGCGCCUGGGUGGCUCAGUCGGUUAAGCGUCUGACUUCAGCUCAGGUCACGAUCUCGCGGUCCUUGAGUUCCAGCCCCGCGUCGGGCUCUGGGGUCAUGGCUCAGAGCCUGGAGCCUGCUUCUGAUUCUGUGUCUCCCUCUCUCUCUGCCCCUCCCCCAUUCAUGCUCUGUCUCUCUCUGUCUCAAAAAUAAAUAAACUUAAAAAUAAAUAAAUAAACAUUUAAAAAAAUUUAAAAAUAAAUAAAUAAAGCCUUCCACAUCUCUCUCUUAGGGUCUCCUCUCAGCUGUCAUUCCAACGUGAAAGCACUCCUGAAAGAGAGUGGAAAAUGACCUUUCUUGCUUCCUGGUACCAGGUUUUGAGAAGUAUCUGCUCAAAUAGCCUUUUUUUUUUUUUUUUUACCAUCAUCAUGUGACUUCCACAGCUUCAUUAAACCAGAUUAGUCAUGCUUCUUGGUUUAAUUCAGAGUGAAUUAAAUCAUAUCCAAUGAACAAAGAGUUUUGUUCAUUUUUGUAACGUUCAGAGGAGAUUAGAGAGGCAGUGGCUUCAGACCCUGGUAGUGGCCACAUUUGCUAAUUCCGCGUUCGAUGCUUCCAGUCGCCAUGAGUGUACAUUUUCACCACUUGUUUGCAGUCUACCAAAGCCAACUCGGGGGGGAUGCUCUCUGCCCCCUGCUGCUGCUUGCCUGUCACUGCAGCAGAUGACUCAGCGGAGGGAUCUUCCAGACCAGGAAUAGAGAAAUGUGUAUGUCUGCUCAGAGCCCCUGAGAAAGCCACGACUUUUGGGGGAAUUCACAUAUCACGUGGGUGCCAAAUAUGGAAGUGUCAGGUAAAUGAAUGGAGAGGAACGCUCAGUCAGUAAUAGCCCUGCUGGGAAAAAUGGCAGAGACUCUUGAGCCGUGGAUCUUACUGCUUUCUUAGCUCCUCCCUGGGGAGCCCUCAGGGCACUUCCUGGGCCACCUUGGCUACUGCUCUUCCUCUUGAUUUUGCCAGUUUCCUCCCGCCUCAGCACAGGCGCACCUGCUGCCUGAAAAGCUCCCCCAACCCCCCCUUCACUCACUAAACCCUACCUGUCUAUUAAAAUUGAGCUGAAAGGUCACCUUGAUGAGACAGACUAAGUCAGGACUCCAUUAAAUCUUCUCACACUAUCUGGUUCUUCUCCUUACAAUUUUAAUUGAAAAAUUAAUCACAGAGAUUGUUGCUUGAUGAAUACGUCAUCUGCUAAAGUGGUAGCCACCCCACCCCCAACCCCGGAAGGCCUUUUGUUUUUUUUUUUUUGGUAUACAUAGCAGGUGCAAAAUACAUAGUUUUUUAAAUGAAUGAAUGGAUGAAUUCUGAAUUGAAAACCCAGCAUUCUUUAAUUUUACAACAUUUCUGUUGGUUUUGCAGCUAAGCCAGAACCAGGUUUAUUGUGAAGUAUAAUUCCAAAGACACCCAAGGGAAAGAAAGAGGAGAAGGUAGGGAGGGGAUGGCCGAAUCAGGUCAGCUUGCUCAUCAUUCUGUUUCACCAGGAGCGGUUAAAUGACAAAGCAAGCCUGCAGAAAUGUUUCUCUUUCUAUAAACUUCACUACCUGAGAAAGAGUAGGAGCUCUUAUCAAACCCCACCUACUUUUUACCGUUUACAAGUACUGCUGACCCACCCUCUAAGACUAACAAUUUUUUUUUGUGAUACCUGCAUUUAGGACAGAAUCUUAGGUACCGAGUUAAUUCCCAUUGCGUUGUAUGACCAGCACCAAUGCUUCCCACUGGGCAUAAGGUACUCUGGUUAUUUUCUCUAUGUCUUCUUCUGGAAAUAAGAAAUAAUUGUUAUUUUCCUUUUACAGAUGGAGAAAAUGAGCACAGGUAAAUCUUUGAACCUUUGAUGUGGUCACACGGAGCCUCAGUGGCAGGCAAGACAACGGCUCAUUUCUAGAGGAACGAUGGAGGGAAAUCCCAGGCCUCCAAGCCUCUAGGCAGUUUCCAAGGCCUGCAACUGAUCACAGAUCCUGUUUUUCUCCCAUUGGCUAAAAGUAUCGUAAGUACAAGUUACAGCCUGA